AAUCCAUAGGUUAAUGAGGCGAACCGGGGGAACUGAAACAUCUAAGUACCCCGAGGAAAAGAAAUCAACCGAGAUUCCCCCAGUAGCGGCGAGCGAACGGGGAGGAGCCCAGAGCCUGAAUCAGCAUGUGUGUUAGUGGAAGCGUCUGGAAAGGCGCGCGAUACAGGGUGACAGCCCCGUACACAAAAGCGCAUGUGCUGUGAGCUCGAUGAGUAGGGCGGGACACGUGGUAUCCUGUCUGAAUAUGGGGGGACCAUCCUCCAAGGCUAAAUACUCCUGACUGACCGAUAGUGAACCAGUACCGUGAGGGAAAGGCGAAAAGAACCCCGGCGAGGGGAGUGAAAAAGAACCUGAAACCGUGUACGUACAAGCAGUGGGAGCACAGGUUUACCUGUGUGACUGCGUACCUUUUGUAUAAUGGGUCAGCGACUUAUAUUCUGUAGCAAGGUUAACCGUAUAGGGGAGCCGGAG
rnacentral:rRNA from 1 species